GUAGCGGGCGAGCGAGUGGAAGAGGCGGCCUCGGGAGCGGGCGGCUGAUGCCUGCAGGCUCAGCCGUUCCCCAGGGGCCUAAGCCUUCCACUUCAAAAUCCAGGAGCUCGUCGGCCAGCCCAGUCUUGGGCGUGACAGUCAGGGUCACGGCCUUUUGGGAGAAAAAGGACGAUGUGGACAUCGACGUCCGGGGCUGGAGGGGAACCCCUGAGGCUCGGAGCGCGGCUAGGGCUGCCCGACACAAGCUGCCGCGAUCGUCGCGUCUUUGCCCCGGGCAGACGACUGAGCGGCCCAGGAGGGUCGGCGCUCGCGGUGAGGGCCCGCCGGGCAGGGCGUGAUCCGGAGGGGCGUGGCCGCGCGGCGAUAGACCCUGCCGGGCCCGCGUUAGGACCUGGGCUGGUCCCUGGGUCGCGGCCUAGCAAAGGGCUGCAAGAAAGGGCGACGCGUUCGUGCUUUUGGAGGUCCUGUGGCGGGGUCGCCUGAAAGAGGCAGGGUCUCACGAAUUCUUAAUUAAAAUGCAUGUGUAAGAUGAGGUUAAUUAACCCACGUGAGCACAUUUCAUUAAACCACUUGUCAAGGAAGAAGAGUGUGCAUGCAACAGAGGCAACGGCCUGAGAAAGGGUCUUGCUCUAUUGCCUGGGGCUAGAGUGCA